rnacentral:rRNA from 1 species
GAUGAACGCUGGCGGCGUGCCUAAUACAUGCCAGUCGAGCGAACAGACGAGGAGCUUGCUCCUCUGACGUUAGCGGCGGACGGGUGAGUAACACGUGGAUAACCUACCUAUAAGACUGGGAUAACUUCGGGAAACCGGAGCUAAUACCGGAUAAUAUAUUGAACCGCAUGGUUCAAUAGUGAAAGACGGUUUUGCUGUCACUUAUAGAUGGAUCCGCGCCGCAUUAGCUAGUUGGUAAGGUAACGGCUUACCAAGGCAACGAUGCGUAGCCGACCUGAGAGGGGGGUGGGCCACACGGGAGAGGACACGGGGGACAGCCCCCGCGGGGGGGCAGAGGAGGGAAAUUUCCCGCAAGGGGGAAAGGCCUGAGGGGGCAGCGCCGGUGGGGGAAUAAAGGUCUGGGGAGCUAAAAACUCUUUUAUAGGGAAAGAACAAAUGAGAAGGUAAAGAUGCGGGCCUUGACGUUCCCUAAUCAGAAGACCAGGGCAAACAAGGGG